CUGAAAUAUAAUUUUCGGUAUAUUUUAUGUUGCUGUAACAUAUAUCCUUCACAUUGAUUUAUUUACUUAAAUUUAGCCUUCAUAACUGUUAUUUGCGGUCUCUGCCUGCGACCCGUCCGGUGGCCUCAUCUAGGCCCCAUUUGAGCCACCUCAACCUCAUUGGAUACGUCGGAGAGUCACCUUACAAUGCUUAAGAUCUGCUGUGAAAUCUUCUUCGUUGGUGUUCGGAGAAGACCAAGCAUAAUUGCUUGUAUGCUUACGAUUUACAGUUUAGUUUACUCUCUCGCGUUAAAGCUUGCGCUCUUGCGUUGAUCUGAGC
rnacentral:lncRNA from 1 species